rnacentral:rRNA from 1 species
CCUUAGGUUCGGCAUAACCCCGGGAAACUGGKGAUAAUUCCGGAUAAASCCAAGAUGCUGGAWUGCCCUUUGKCUAAAAGCUUUUGCGSCUAARGAWARGUUUGCGGUCUAUCARGUUGUAGUGGGUGAAACGKACCUAYUAACCGACCACGGAUACCGGUUGKGAARACCARAACCCSGAAAUGGAUUYUUARACACAGAAUCCMGGCCCUWACGGGUGCAMCARGGCCCRACACUUUACCAUGCSGGAAACCGCSAUAAGGGAAACCGCGAUAGCCAGUACUAAGUGCUGGCUGUCUGGAUGAUUAAAACUCAUUUAUAGCAAGGGCCGGGCAAGACCGGUGCCAGCCGCCGCGGUAACACCGGCGGCCCGAGUGGUAACCGAUAUUAUUGGGUCUAAAGGGUCCGUAGCCUGUUUAAUAAGUCCUUUGGGAAAUCUGGCAGCUUAACUGUCAGGCUGCAAAGGAUACUGUUARACUUGGGACCGGGAGACGUARGRGGUACUCCAGGGGUAGGAGUGAAAUCUUGUAAUCCCUGGGGGACCAUCUGUGGCGAAGGCGCCUUACCAGAACGGGUCCGACGGUGAGGGACGAAAGCUAGGGGAGCRAACCGGAUUAGAUACCCGGGUAGUCCUAGCUGUAAACGAUGCUCGCUAGGUGUCCGGCACGGUGCGACCGUGUCUGGUGCCGCAGGGAAGCCGUUAAGCGAGCCACCUGGGAAGUACGGUCGCAAGGCUGAAACUUAA